CCGGUUUAUGAUGAUGGACGGCUUGACACGUACUGGUAGUCUAUUUAGUGAAACAGACUUGUUCGAGAAGUCUCAUUAUCCAAGCUGACUUCAGUUAGUGAAAACGAGCAUAAAAGUACAGAUCACUAAAUCUGCUAAGGAGCGAUGAUUUUAUUGAUCUUCUCCAGCCUUGUUGUGGGGUUGAUGGCGAUUGGCAAUUACAGUUAUGUUCCCGAUGAAACGUACUUCGGGUGCUGGCCCA